UACGGAGGGUGCAAGCGUUAUCCGGAUUCACUGGGUUUAAAGGGAGCGUAGGUGGGUUGGUAAGUCAGUGGUGAAAUCCCCGAGCUUAACUUGGGAACUGCCAUUGAUACUAUCAGUCUUGAAUAUUGUGGAGGUCAGCGGAAUAUGUCAUGUAGCGGUGAAAUGCUUAGAUAUGACAUAGAACACCAAUUGCGAAGUCAGCUGGCUACGCAUAUAUUGACACUGAGGCUCGAAAGCGUGGGGAUCAAACAGG
rnacentral:rRNA from 1 species